GGAAGUAAAAGUCGUAACAAGGUUUCCGUAGGUGAACCUGCGGAAGGAUCAUUACUGAUUUAGCGAGCCGAGCAUUAGCGAGGUUUUGCGAUCAAUUUAUAUUUAAAACCCUCUCUUUAAUGUAUAAAAUUUGUAUUAAUGAUAAAUUAAAAGAUCACUUUCAACAACGGAUCUCUUGGCUCUCGCAUCGAUGAAGAACGUAGCGAAGUGCGAUAAGUAAUGUGAAUUGCAGUAUUCCGUGAAUCAUCGAAUCUUUGAACGCAUAUUGCACUUUCUGGUAUUCCGGAAAGUAUGCCUGUUUGAGGGUCAGUUAAAUAAAAAUCGGUGUUGUUGCUGCUUUCGUGGUGACGCGUCGGAAUUGAGUUGUCUUACCUUCGGUUAAGUGACUUAAAAUUUUGUAUGAUUUUCGAACGUAUUUAAAUUUAUUUGUACGUUUGAGAUAUCGAAUGUUUAUUAGGUUCGGUCAUUCUAAUGACUCGCGCCUAUAGUUUUUCAUUAAAUGACCUCAAAUCAGGUAAGAAUACCCGCUGAACUUAAGCAUAUCAAUAAGCGGAGGA
rnacentral:rRNA from 1 species